rnacentral:rRNA from 1 species
UACAGAGGGGGGCAAGCGUUAUUCGGAAUUAUUGGGCGUAAAGGGCGCGUAGGCGGCCCUCUUUGUCGCGUGUGAAAGCCCCGGGCUCAACCUGGGAAUUGCGCGCGAAAACGGGGGGGGCUUGAGUUCGGGAGAGGAGCGUGGAAUUCCCAGUGUAGAGGUGAAAUUCGUAGAUAUUGGGAAGAACACCGGUGGCGAAGGCGGCGCUCUGGACCGAGACUGACGCUGAGGCGCGAAAGCGUGGGGAGCAAACAGG